rnacentral:rRNA from 1 species
UCGCUAGUAAUCGCAGAUCAGAAUGCUGCGGUGAAUACGUUCCCGGGUCUUGUACACACCGCCCGUCACACCAUGGGAGCCGGGAAUGCCCGAAGUCGGUGACCCAACCGUAAGGAGGGAGCCGCCGAAGGCAGGCCUGGUAACUGGGGUGAAGUCGUAACAAGGUAAC